CCAUUUACAGAUCUUAUACGUGUUAUGGGUUUUAUUAUUGUAUCAAUGCUCUUGUCAUUUUGAUAACUUUCAUUGAGUUCAAUUUAUCAUUCUUCCGUUGUUUUAUUUAUACAUGAUUUUUUUAUUUAGUCAGUGAAACUACAAUCCUUCCCACCUUUUUAUGAAACAUUUAUUUAACCUCCGCCGGAACAGUUUUGUACAUGUUAUAAUGAUUUUUUUUUUUACGUAUUAUAAGUGGAAUGUUCUUGGACUCAAUGGUCAUUCAUUAGGUUUAUUAUUUAACUAUUAUUUUGUAUUGACCAUUUGUCAGGGCAUUUCCUUCUUGUAAAAUGAAUGAUAGUGCUUAAAUUGGACCAAAGACCAAGUAAAUUUGCAAUAACAUU
rnacentral:misc_RNA from 1 species